rnacentral:rRNA from 1 species
CAAUAGCGUAUAUUAAAGUUGUUGCGGUUAAAAAGCUCGUAGUUGGAUUUCUGCUUUGCGAGGCCGGUCACCACUACGUGGUUGUAUCUGGUUCUAGCAGGGCAUCCUCGUCAAAAUGCUUACUGUGCUUGAUUGCAUGGUGGUGUGUUGGCGACUUUUACUUUGAGGAAAUUAGAGUGUUCACGGCAGGCAAUCGCCCUGAAUAUAUUAGCAUGGAAUAAUAAUAUAGGAUCUGAUGCCUAUUUUGUUGGUUUCUAGGUGUUAGAUAAUGAUUAAUAGGGACAAUUGGGGGCAUUCGUAUUAAGGCGUCAGAGGUGGAAUUCUUGGAUUGCCUUACGACGAACUACUGCGAAAGCAUUUGCCAAGGAUGUUUUCAUUGA